rnacentral:rRNA from 1 species
GGCUCUUCGUUUAUAUUAGAUGUGGAGUCGGACCUGCCCGGUGAGUUUUUAACGGCCGCGGUAUUCUGACCGUGCAAAGGUAGCAUAAUCAUUUGUCUUAUAAUUAAAGACUGGUAUGAAUGGUUUGACAAGAAUGCGACUGUCUCUUCAUAGUUAAUUAGAAUUUUAUUUGCGGGUGAAGAAGCCUGUAUAAUAUUAAAAGACGAGAAGACCCUAUCGAGCUUAAGGGAAAUUGAUAGUUUGUAUUUAAAUGGGUGAGAAAUAAGUCUAUUAUGGAUUUUGGUUGGGGCGACUAGGGAAUAAGAGUAGCUUCCUUUAUUGUUUAAUUUCUAACUGGUGUUGAUCCAAGAAAUCUUGAUUGAAGGAAUUAGUUACCGUAGGGAUAACAGCAUAAUCUUUUUUGAGAGUUCUUAUCGAAAGAAAGGUUUGUGACCUCGAUGUUGGACCAGAAUGUCCUAAAGAUGUAGAAGUCUUUAAGGGUUGGUCUGUUCGACCAUUAAAAUUCUACG